rnacentral:rRNA from 1 species
UAGGGAAUCUUCGGCAAUGGACGAAAGUCUGACCGAGCAACGCCGCGUGUGUGAAGAAGGUUUUCGGAUCGUAAAACUCUGUUGUUAGCGAAGAACAAGGACGUUAGUAACUGAACGUCCCCUGACGGUAUCUAACCAGAAAGCCACGGCUAACUACGUGCCAGCAGCCGCGGUAAUACGUAGGUGGCAAGCGUUGUCCGGAUUUAUCGGGCGUAAAGCGAGCGCAGGCGGUUUCUUAAGUCUGAUGUGAAAGCCCCCGGCUCAACCGGGGAGGGUCAUUGGAAACUGGGAGAGUUGAGUGCAGAAGAGGGGAGUGGAGUUCCAUGUGUAGCGGUGAAAUGCGUAGAUAUAUGGAGGAACACCAGUGGCGAAGGCGGCUCUCUGGUCUGUAACUGACGCUGAGGAUCGAAAGCGUGGGGAGCAAACAGG